rnacentral:lncRNA from 1 species
CCUGGAGGUGCAUCUCUCUGUCCAUCUUAAAUCUAAAGGAGAAUAAUCCUCUCAGGGUUAGAUGUUUUAGGUUAGGAGUCAUGAGGAUAUAAGGGAGCACAGGAAUUUCCCUGAUAAUAGUUUGCCCAGGUUUCUGGGGGUACAAUGCCCAGGCCACCGGUACUCUUGAAGGAACAACGGUUCAGGGAGAAGGAAUGUAUGGACUGACUCUUCAGAAUAUCUUCUGCCUGGGCUUUGAGAUCUCCUUUCUAUUUUCAUUUGAUUUUCAUCCUUCACAAGAAGCACAAGGGACAAAUACAAAAAAGAGAUUUCAAAAGAAAUCCUGGGAAAGAAUAAUGAAAGAAGAUUCCAUCAAUUUUCCUGUCCCCAUGUACAACUGGCUACAAUGAGUGGUCAUCACUCUGGAUCUUAAGACAGCCGAGUCAGGUCUCAUUAUAUCUGAGGAUCGAAAGAGCAUGAGAUAUGGAGGUGUCCAAGAGGGAUUGCCCAAUGGUACUGGGAGUUGAUCUUUUUGCCUGUGGCUUUGGGAUUCAGUCCUUCAAUUCAAGAUGUUACUGGGA